UACGUAGGGUGCAGGCGUUAAUCGGAAUUACUGGGCGUAAAGCGUGCGCAGGCGGUUUGCUAAGACAGGUGUGAAAUCCCCGGGCUUAACCUGGGAACUGCGCUUGUAACUGGCAAGCUAGAGUGUGGCAGAGGGGGGUGGAAUUCCACGUGUAGCAGUGAAAUGCGUAGAUAUCUGGAGGAACACCGGUGGCGAAGGCGGCAUCCUGGACCAUUACUGACACUGAAAAGCGAAAGCCAGGGGAGCAAACGGG
rnacentral:rRNA from 1 species